AGUGAACGCUGACGGUAGGCCUAACACAUGCAAGUCGAACGGCAGCACAGUAAGAGCUUGCUCUUACGGGUGGCGAGUGGCGGACGGGUGAGGAAUACAUCGGAAUCUACUUUUUCGUGGGGGAUAACGUAGGGAAACUUACGCUAAUACCGCAUACGACCUACGGGUGAAAGCAGGGGAUCUUCGGACCUUGCGCGAUUGAAUGAGCCGAUGUCGGAUUAGCUAGUUGGCGGGGUAAAGGCCCACCAAGGCGACGAUCCGUAGCUGGUCUGAGAGGAUGAUCAGCCACACUGGAACUGAGACACGGUCCAGACUCCUACGGGAGGCAGCAGUGGGGAAUAUUGGACAAUGGGCGCAAGCCUGAUCCAGCCAUACCGCGUGGGUGAAGAAGGCCUUCGGGUUGUAAAGCCCUUUUGUUGGGAAAGAAAAGCAGCAGGUUAAUACCCCGCUAUUCUGACGGUACCCAAAGAAUAAGCACCGGCUAACUUCGUG
rnacentral:rRNA from 1 species